AAAGGCAGUUGUACAAAAUGUUAAAGGUAUUGGGCCACUAAGCUUUUUAAUAUUUAAGGCAUAAAAAGAUUUUUCUUUGGCACCACUAUAAUUUAAUUUAUUAGACUUUAAAUGGGGGAUU